UAGAAUGUCAGAUAUUCUUGCUGUCUAUGCAUGGGUUGAUCCUGCAACGGGGUAUUGUCAAGGUAUGAGUGAUUUGCUGUCUCCCUUUGUUGUAAUCUUUGAGGAUAACGCAGAUGCAUUUUGGUGUUUUGAGAUGCUUUUGAGGAGAAUGAGAGAAAAUUUUCAAAUGGAAGGCCCAACUAGGGUGAUGAAGCAGCUGCGAGCAUUAUGGCAUAUUCUCGAGCUGUCAGAUAGAGAACUUUUUGCCCACAUGUCAAAAAUUGGUGCUGAAAGCCUUCAUUUUGCAUUUCGUAUGUUGCUAGUUCUCUUUCGGAGAGAGUUAUCUUUUAAUGAGGCUCUUUCAAUGUGGGAGAUGAUGUGGGCAGCCGACUUUGAUGAAUCCUGGGCAUUUGAUUUAGAGGAGAAUUGUCUGGAAGCAUUAGAUUUACAUCUUCCCAGUGACUCAACCAAUUAUAUAAAAGAAGCAAUUGCUGAUUCUGACGAUGAUAGUAUCAGGAGUGGUUCACAGUCAAGUCAUAAUGAAAAUGACAACACAAAAGCAAGCCUGCAGCCACAUCAUGGGAACACUGAUCACCCUGUAUCUGAUGUCAAAUUGAAGUUGCAAGCAUCCCAUGCCUUUUGUGGCUUGGCAAGGAAUAUCUGGUCAAGAAAUGGUCAAGUUCAAACGAGAACUAUUUCCUCCUUGGCAAGGAAAGGAAACGAUGAGUUAGCCACAUUCUGUGUUGCAGCAAUUCUUGUUUUAAACCGCCAGAAGAUCAUUCGAGAAACCCGCUCGUUCGAUGAUAUGAUAAAGGCAGAUUUUCAAUGACAAUAUGUUGGAGAUCAAUGUAAAAAGAUGCAUAAGAACAGCAAUCAAAAUCCGAAAGAAAUAUUUUAACAAGGUAACCAAGAAAAAGAACUGUGCUGCAGAGAAAAGAGACUAGGGCAAUAUCAUUGUUAUAUGUUCUUGAGGAAAAAGCAC